rnacentral:siRNA from 1 species
UGGCAAUGUAUCUCGGGUUGU